rnacentral:rRNA from 1 species
UACGUAGGUGGCAAGCGUUGUCCGGAUUUACUGGGUGUAAUGGGCGUGUAGCCGGGCUUACAAGUCAGAUGUGAAAUCCGGGGGCUCAACCCCCGAACUGCAUUUGAAACUGUAGGUCUUGAGUAUCGGAGAGGCAGGCGGAAUUCCUAGUGUAGCGGUGAAAUGCGUAGAUAUUAGGAGGAACACCAGUGGCGAAGGCGGCCUGCUGGACGACAACUGACGGUGAGGCGCGAAAGCGUGGGGAGCAAACAGG